rnacentral:misc_RNA from 1 species
AUCGAACAUGCAGCACCCUACCUUCAAGCUUUGUAACCCCGAAUGCUUCUCGUAUAUAUUGGUAGUUCGUACAGUCUAUUGCGCAUCGAGUGCCUGCCCUGAGCACCCGCUACAGCGCUUAUACCGCUGGUGCGCAUGCAGCACAGUAACGGAACGCCUUUGCCAUACGACUUGGGGCGUCGCCUGGAGGCGAACUGCCCCUGAACCAGGCUCCGGUCUUGUCGCCGCUGCGCGACGCUCUGGAGAAACCAGACAGCAGCUAGGAUGAAUCCUGAGCGCCGCCUCUCACGUUCGCGAUGGUGUACGCCAAGCGUUGUCGGUUGGCGACGCGGGCUUUUGCUUGGCAUUCACCAGUGAGCAGGUGUGCAAAGCACCGGGCCUUCCGCCGAGAAGGUAGAAUGUGAGUUUGCUGGCCGCUACUGAGCGUUGGGGCUCGCUCAGUUACGAGACCGCCGCCUCAAUCGAUACGAGCGCGGAUGGAUUGGACGGGCGUAUGCGGCCUGUGGGGUGGUCUUGUGCCACAGGCGCUUCCGCUGACGGGUACGCGGUGCGCUCGGAGCUCGGGUGCUCUGCGCGUUUGUUACGGAGUAUUGGGGUCAGCGCUGGACACGUUCAGGUACGGAGUAGGAAAAUAAGCAUGCAUAGGAUGGGGGUUUGUUGUCUUGUGCGCACACUUGUUUCGGAAUGAAGCGGAACGUGUCUAUGGAGCCAGGUAGGUUGUGCGCGCUAACGCUUGGGUCUGUUGCUAGUGGUAUCAGUACCAGCAUUGGUGGACCUUUCCAGCGGCGGAUUUGUUUGCCGGUCCCUUAGUUUUGGAUUUAAAUGGGCAGGUCUUUCGUGUUGCUCCAGCUCCGUUGCCGGCAGUCGAAAGACGGCGAAAGCAGGUCAAGUCCCGAAUGGUCUGCUUUGCGUAGUUGACGACACAUCCCGUGCACAAGUAGUUGCUGCGGUCGACGAUUCGCUUCCCAUGCUCAUUUUCCUUGUAUGCAGCAUCGGUGCGCGAGUCGCAGCAGCAGUACUCGGCUGUGGUCAGGUGUUCUCAUAUGACCAAUAGACUUGUUCCCCGUUUGGGAGCAGGUCUGUGGCGUACGAACACCUGCUUCGGCGCUCGUUGCGUACCCUUCACGGGCACCAAAGGCGUCAGUCGGUACCCGCUUCCAUCAGCGAGCCCGGUGCCGUAGCCGCCGAUCACUGGCCUCCGCUGGGGUAUCCCGUCGACGAGUACAGUGACCGUUGCAAACGCGUACCCUGUUGCCUUCCACAGAGGAUUUGUGGAACGCGAUGUUCCAUAUAAUGAAACGAGGAACGGAAGAAGAAUCAAGGCCGGAGAACAAGUUGAGGAAACUCGAUCCGUCUUGGCUUCUUUCAUGCAGCGCAGUGAAGCAUUCUUUAUUGGAAUCGAUUGCUGGGAUGGCUCAAGUCCGAGUCCAAGACCUUCGUCUGCGCAAGAUUGAGGACACGACGCGGGCCCUGCUGGAGGUUAUCGCGUAACAGGCAUCGCACUGCAGUCGAGACCAGUUUCGCCGAUGACCCUGCAGCCAAUACGUAUUUCUCUUUCGAGCACGAAUCGGCUACUUGACUUGAGACGUUCAGUGAGCAUUCGGAUGGAGCCUGUAACCAAGUCCUCUAUGGACAAGGUCCAGUUUCUCGCCUCGUGAACAGCGCUGUGCGAAUCGCUGGGCGCACCUGACGCUUUGAAACACAAAAGAUCCAAAACUUGAUGCGUCCUUGAUCCGAGCAUGCUACUCGCACGGAAAGGCCAAGAGUGAAUGCUCCUACGCAUGGUUUUGAGAAUAAUAUCCGUUAUUUUAGGAUUCCUUGUUUGAAUGCGUUGCGAAUUGACUUGCUUUCCGUAACGCAACGAAUACCAGCCGCAAAGCGUCGAGGGAUCCCGCUUCGAAAUGACGACCAAGAAUCCGAAGACUAUGCAUGCAUCUUGAAGUCUUUAUUUCUGAAUUUCGAAUCUUGAGCCUGCAGGUCUAUAAGGUUCGGGGCAAAUCGAGAAAAAAGGAACGUACCGACUAGUUCAGUGCUCCAUCGCAAUCUGACUCGAGUGCGUAGCGACCGUGACGUCCUUCGCCCGCUACAACGAAACCCAGGUCGAAACUGCGUAUUUUCACGGGAUUUGACUGUACGACCACCAAGCAGCUCGUAAAAGAAAUAUCGUAGGUCAGUACGUUUGCGUUCGAAAAG